CUAGAAUCUGAUUCAGAAACCCUGGCACAGUAGAUCAACUUCAAAGAGAUACAACCGAAGCACACUCAACAAGCCAUGUAAAGAAUUGCUAAAGAAAACUAUGUCCUUAUCUUUGUAGUUUCACCCCUCACACCCCGACGCCAUUUUUGUUUUGAUGCCACUGGAUUUUCUCACAAAGUUUUUCCUCCACAUGACUAGGGAAAGCCACCUUAUUACAUUUCAUGCAAUGACAUCUAAGAAUUUGCAAGGGCAUAAAGAAAAG
rnacentral:misc_RNA from 1 species